CCUGCUGACAUAAGCGAUUACUAUUUCUUCUCUGCACAAUGAAGGAUGCUGAGGCUCAGAGUUGACAGACAUCAGCUGAGUGAGUGGCAGGUGAAGACCCCAGGACCCACGUCUGUCCAGCUCUUCAUCCUCUUUCUGCCAUAAGCUGCAGACCAAGCAUCAAGCACUCACAGAACUACAAGCAGUGCUGCAAACAUUCGACUAUGUGUCCAUGCGGAACCCAGAGACACCCUCUGUUUGCCUGAAAAUGACUGACAGGAUGGAAACUGACCAGUCAUCACCUGCUUCUGGCACCAUCAGGGACUGGUUAACUCAAAAUGCUGGUCCACAUGGGAGGAUGAACCUGGGUUCCAAGAUCAGCCAAAUGCUCUGGGCUCUGGAUCAGAACUCCAGAACUGGACAGUCAAGCUAGGGAGCAUCUUAGAAAUGAGAGAAUAUGGUAAAGGAUACUUUUGGAAGAAGUGAUGUAUUUUUCCUUUCGUUUCAAGAGAAGAAAUUGAGACCAGAGCAAGUUGUCAAUUCAAUCUGUACUCACGUGUAAAAACGCGCA